GUUUGAUCCUGGCUCAGGACGAACGCUGGCGGCGUGCUUAACACAUGCAAGUCGAACGGUAAGGCCCCUUCGGGGGUACACGAGUGGCGAACGGGUGAGUAACACGUGGGUAAUCUGCCCUGCACUUCGGGAUAAGCCUGGGAAACCGGGUCUAAUACCGGAUAUGAGCUCUCACCGCAUGGUGGGGGUUGGAAAGUUUUUCGGUGCAGGAUGAGUCCGCGGCCUAUCAGCUUGUUGGUGGGGUAAUGGCCUACCAAGGCGACGACGGGUAGCCGGCCUGAGAGGGUGAUCGGCCACACUGGGACUGAGACACGGCCCAGACUCCUACGGGAGGCAGCAGUGGGGAAUAUUGCACAAUGGGCGGAAGCCUGAUGCAGCGACGCCGCGUGGGGGAUGACGGUCUUCGGAUUGUAAACUCCUUUCAGUAGGGACGAAGCGAGAGUGACGGUAC
rnacentral:rRNA from 1 species